AAAAAACCAAGAAGAUUAUAAAAAAAAGGAGUAUAUUCAAGAGAAUUGUAUUGUAUUAUGGCAUCGUUGAUCUCAAGCCUCGAAUCAAAUUCAGACACGUCGCAAGAGUUCAAGCAGGGGAAGAAGCGAAGAAAACUCUCUCACGAGACGCAGGAUCACAGCCAAAACGACAGUACGAACAACAGAAUCGUCAACAAAACAAGGUGGAAAACUCAAGCAGAGCAGCAGAUCUAUUCCUCCAAGCUUC
rnacentral:misc_RNA from 1 species